rnacentral:rRNA from 1 species
GACGAACGCUGGCGGCGUGCCUAAUACAUGCAAGUUGAGCGCUGAAGGUUGGUACUUGUACCAACUGGAUGAGCAGCGAACGGGUGAGUAACGCGUGGGGAAUCUGCCUUUGAGCGGGGGACAACAUUUGGAAACGAAUGCUAAUACCGCAUAAAAACUUUAAACACAAGUUUUAAGUUUGAAAGAUGCAAUUGCAUCACUCAAAGAUGAUCCCGCGUUGUAUUAGCUAGUUGGUGAGGUAAAGGCUCACCAAGGCGAUGAUACAUGGCCGACCUGAGAGGGUGAUCGGCCACAUUGGGACUGAGACACGGCCCAAACUCCUACGGGAGGCAGCAGUAGGGAAUCUUCGGCAAUGGACGAAAGUCUGACCGAGCAACGCCGCGGGAGUGAAGAAGGUUUUCGGAUCGUAAAACUCUGUUGGUAGAGAAGAACGUUGGUGAGAGUGGAAAGCUCAUCAAGUGACGGUAACUACCCAGAAAGGGACGGCUAACUACGUG